GGGGUCAUAGCUCAAGUGGUAGAGCAACUGCUUUGCAAGCAGAAGGUUGGAGGUUCAAGUCCUCUCGGUUCCA
rnacentral:tRNA from 1 species